rnacentral:rRNA from 1 species
AGUGAACGCUGGCGGCGUGCCUAAUACAUGCAAGUCGAACGGAGUGGCGCACGGGUGAGGAAUAUAUAGCUAAUCUGCCCCUUGCUGGAGGACAACAGUUAGGAAUGACUGCUAAUACUCCAUAGCAAGGGAUGAGUGUAUAUCGGAUCAGCUAGUCGGUGGGGUAACGGCCUACCGAGGCGAUGACGGCUAACUGGUGUGAGAGGAUGAUCAGUCAAAUUGGAACGGAGACACGGUCCAAACACCUACGGGAAGGAGCAGUAGUGAAUAGUGCGCAAGGGGGGUGACCCUGAAGCAGCAUCGCCGUGUAGAGGAUGAUACUUUUCGGAGAGUAAACUCCUGUUGUUAGCGAAGCGGUACCUAACGAAUAAGCACCGGCUAACUCCGUGCCAGCAGCCGCGGUAAUUC